rnacentral:rRNA from 1 species
UACGUAGGGGGCAAGCGUUGUCCGGAAUUAUUGGGCGUAAAGAGCGCGUAGGCGGUCCGAUAAGUCGGCUGUGAAAGUCAAGGGCUCAACCCUUGAAAGCCGGCCGAUACUGUCGGACUAGAGUCCGGCAGGGGAGACUGGAAUUCCUGGUGUAGCGGUGAAAUGCGCAGAUAUCAGGAGGAACACCGGUGGCGAAGGCGGUUCUCUGGGCAUUACCUGACGCUGAGGAGCGAAAGUGUGGGGAGCGAACAGG